UAUAUAUAUCGGUAUUGGAACAAUAAAUCUUGAAGCAGUUAUUAAUGAUGGCAUUUAAAACAAAUUUUAUCAGGAUGUUUGUAUUGUUAUUUUUGGUUUUAACAAUAGUUACAGUAACCCAACCAGCUGCCGUCGAACCACCACUAGGAUAUCCGGUCGUAACCCCGCCUCCAGCUGUCA